AUCAUUUUCAGUUCACAAGUGUGAUGAUAGGGUGUUCAUGCUGUUGUGUGAGAUGGCCUCCAUCUAAACCUUGUUACAAUGUUUAUAGAUCUGAUG
rnacentral:snoRNA from 1 species